GCUAUAUAAAUAAAAUUGAAAUUGAAUUAACUGCGUGUUUGGCCAGUGUGGGUGCAACAGCGUGUCCUUUGACGAUCCAAAACUUUUUGUAUCCCUUAUUUCUGGAAAUAUUUCUUUGACACAGAAUCGGCUUGAAGUGCUGCAAGCUCAUCCUCACAGCCGAGGUAUUCCACGUGCUCCAGGCUGGAAACGUACGGGUCCAUCACCCACGAUCCUUUUGAUAAGUACUCGUCAACAUUUCCUCCUGGAGCAAGUUCAUGAGUGGGGUAAACUCGGUGCGUAAAGACGCACACACAGUGCCACAGUGGAAAUUGUAGCAGCUCUCCUUUUUGACAUUUUCCCAACUCUGUAUUCCAUUUUGCGCACAAAUGCGCUGAGAGCGUCUUUGCACUGCAUGACGUGUGAUUCAGGGCCUUGCUUCCGCUUGUUUGUCUAAUUGUAGAGAGUAAAUCUGUGUAAGUAGGCCGUUUACUUCCAGAAAGCGUCAGUCAGCUGUUCGUGCAGGUGUCAGUUGUGAUCAUGCAAGAAUUCCAUCAUUUUUUCCUGCAGUUCAAUAAAACGCACAAGCACUUGUCCGCGCGACAACCAGCGUACCUCUGUGCGUAACAGCAGUGUUUGAUGCGUCCUCACACAGCUGGGCAAACGGUCUCUUGUUCCUAGCGCGAGCUUUGAUGAAGUUUCCAACUUUAGUUGUCAGGGUGUCACCGAGGUCUUCAGAAAGUGUUUUACUGGCCAAUGCUUGGCAAUGCACCCUGGGGCUUUUUCCUUCAGACGGCUGUUAAAUCCUGCUGCAGCGGCAUCAGUGCAGCAAGCUUCUCUGUAGGGCAGGUUGUUGGAUGACGAGUCCACAGCCAUAAAAAUAUCUUGUCCUGUAGUUGUUGUGGUCAGAUUGGUAGACAUAAGAAUGUCUUGUUGCAAAUCCUUGCCGUGAAUAUAUUGCACAUGAGCACGGACUCGUCUGACACUGUUGUCGUUUCAUCCAACUGAAUGGUAUUUUAAUAGCGAACACUCGAAUGAGGCCUCUGUGGCUCUGUGUAAAUCGCUGCCAAGUUCUUGGCUUCACCAGCAGUCUCCUGGUGUUUUGUUUGUUGAUGGCUUCAUGCUGUCAUGAGCUUGCUUCUCGCCACAAAUGACACAUUCUGACUUGUCCUGUCCUUCAAUGGUCAAGAUAAAGCCUUACUUUCUUCUUUGAUAUGGAGAAGUCGUGAAACUGUGACGCUAGGCAGGAAACGCAGCGAUGACCUGGCUGGCAGCUAGUGCGCUCGGCUGAGGGCUGCCAGUCCUCUAAAUGGUCGUGUUGUCUGAUUUGUGUCCUGAUGGUGUUGAUGUGUUUGUGGUCACCUACGUGGGAACUGCUCGUACCUGAAGCCAUCGGUGGUCGUCUGGGCAGCUUCAAGCGCAGACACGACGCUGAAGUUAGCUUCUGAUUCUAAACGCCGUUUUAAAGAAACUUCCUCUCUCUGGAAAAAUCUAAUCCAGAUUUGGCAGGUCUAGGUGUACUGGUUUUUGAUCAGGACCUUAGGACCUGGUCUAAUGUGGGUUACUGGCAAAAAAAAAAAAAACUGUGAAAUCAUCCUUUUCUCAUUUUCACAAACAAAAUAAAGGUUUUAUGAACCGUGUAAAGUGUUUCAGACAGCGUGAAGACUUUUCCUAAAAGGCCUGCCAGCUUUCACAGGAAGAGCAGAACCCAGAGAACCUGUCGCUCAGCGGGGUUCACUUUCCCCAACUCUUCAAUCAGAAGCUGUUUUCAGCGUCGCAGCCCAGAGACUAACAACCUUUCCGAUCCACAGAUACACCGAACGUUAUUGCAGUACUAGUAUUUGUGACAGUACUGCAGCUGUUGGACUAACCUGUCAGUGUUUCCUGCUUCAGACCAGCAGAGAUGUUUCCUGACAGAAGACCGAGGACUCCUCCCUGCUCCUCUGGUCCAGAGACUCUGGUGGAGGGACAUCCUCAGUUCCCUGUGCAGCUGCUCAGGCCUUUCUAACAUGCUCACCUAUAAAGAGACCUGGACCUGGACCUGGAGGAGGGCUGGAUGCCACCUGUGACCCUGCAGAUCCCAGCUUUGACACAUGCGUCUCCUUCGUCCUGGUGUGAAGAGGGACAGUCCCAGGACCAGCAGCAGCAACAGUGAGUCGGCUGUGUGCAGGCAGAGGCCUGGAGACGCCUGGAGACGCCCGGCAGCAUCAGGACAGACUCUGCGUCCUCAGGAAGACGCUUCAGGAGACCCUGAGAGGACACCGUGUGGACAGUUUAUAUCAAAGUCUUGUCUUUGCUGCUCUGGGCCUCAGAUUUACCAGGUUUAUAUUUCUGUUUCAGCUGCUCUGAAUAAAGUGCUUUAUUUUGAA